CGUUAAUGGCUGCACGUGAAAUAUAGAAUUUCCAAAAAUCAGAAAAAUGUGAUUGUCGCUCAACCCUUCAUACUUCAAAGAUGUACGUGAUGUAGCUGUUAGUAGAUUUUAGCCUUGAAAAAACCAUCAUCAUCAACAACAACGAGUGCAAGUUUUGCUUGUGCCUGAAUUGACUGCUAUCAAUCUAUCAUCAUCAACAGUCUGCUGCUUCAUCACUAUGGUAUACUGUCUUUUGUCGUCUAGCACAUUCUAGUGAAUGUGGGUUUAUUCACGGAGACGCCCGUCUAAUGUAUCCAACUUUCCUGCUGAUGGAACGCGUGCGGAUGCCUGGCGGUAUUUUCCAGACUUCAAGAUUCACAGCAUCCAGUUUUCUUGGAUAAACUACCGAUGUCGAUCGAGUAACGGAUCUCCUCUUCC